rnacentral:rRNA from 1 species
UUAGGGGGAGUUCAAGAGUACGUGAAACCGUCCAGGGGUAAACCUGCGAAACUCGAAUGAACGAACGGGGAGAUUCAUCGUCAUUCCUCGGCGCAUCGGCGCAGGUUAGAUGUCUUCGGUCUCGGCCGUGGGCACUGCUCGCGUCGAUCGCGUCCGGGGACGGCGUGCACUUCUCCCUUAGUAAUACAUCGCGACCCGUUCGAUGUCGGUCUAAGUGCCCCCCGGGAGUCUAUUCGCCGUUCGCGCGGCGUUCAGACCGGCGGGUGCACCGACCGGCCGUCGGACGGUAGAUCUGACGAAACGCUCACGCGCUUGCGCGCGUCCGGCCCGACGCAAGGCAACGUCGUAUCCCGCUUCCUGCCCGUGUGCGGACGCGGGUGCGGCGCGCCUGUCGUCGCAGCCGUGCUGUCUCGGACCGUGUGCGUAUCUGUCUGCGAUGAUUCAGUUUCGGGCACUCGCAGGACCCGUCUUGAAACACGGCCAAAA